rnacentral:rRNA from 1 species
AUGACUUCGCAAUUUUUAGGCAGUCUGGGGUGCAACGCUGGCCAGGCGUGUAGCGCCGAUCUUACUCUCACCACCCAGCCGCCUCCCACGACCAGAAACCCCUGGCCACCGCGGCCGCCGCGAGGCAUCCAUCCCCGGCCGCCGCUGGCCUCCAUCCCCGGCCGCCGCGAGCGCCACCGCCCUACGUGCCCGCAUCUAUCCCAUUCCCGGCGACAAGGUCGCCGCCUAUGGAUCUCUCCUGCAGCCUCCGUUCGUGCUAGUGGAGGGAGAAAUUCCCUGCAGCGGCCAAAUCUUGGCGCCGCUAGUGAUCUCUGCCUCCAUCUCCACUUCACUGGAGCAAUCAGUCCAGAGGAGGAGGUGAUAUAUUUGGACCUUUGCCUUGUCAGUACAACAUCACGCUCCAUAGCCGGGCACGAGAAAAGUUGCGUGCAGGCCACCCUGUGCUCCGUCCUCUAUCCGCCUCAGUCAUCUCCCUCUCAUCCUCUCUCUGCUCCGUGUGUGUGUGUGCAGGGAGUGGGAGGAGAUAGAGCAGGGGAGUGGGAGGCCCUUCCAUGGCGAAUGCAUAGGCAUCUUCCAUGGAGAUUUACAGAGAAGCUUCAGUACGAGAAAAAGUGGGUCAUCAGUUCAUCCAUAUGCAACCUCCUGCGUGGUCGUCCAUUUUUUUUUGGAGCCUACUCACUGCAAAGCACAAAAGAGGUUGGUGCUCACCUUCUUCGAGACUGCCGCCGCUCCCACAUUUCCAGGCUCUACGGCAAGACCUACUGCAUCGCCACCACCACUGUUGUAGCGAAGACGACGACUAGAUGUAGAUCGGCGAGUGCGGGAUCAACCUCAGCAGCAGCCAGAAGCAGCGCAUUCAGCUCGACCGCGCCGUCUACCAGGACUGUGACAUCUAACUCCUUGAUGACGUCUUCAGCGCCGUCGAUGCGCACCGGCAGUGAGAUCUUCAAGAUCAUGAAUUUAGGAAGCUGCAACCUUUGGCAUUAUUCUAUACUGAGAUUUUGGUGCGAGAACAAGAACGUCGAGAGCAUGUGCAUGAACACUUCGUGUGUGUAUUGUGUUGCCCUCGAGCUGUAUGAGAGGCCGCCCGCGGAGCCGAGGAAGUCGCCGAUCUGGUCUGAAUAUGUUGCCCCCACCAUGCUGAUUUACUACUGCAACGUCGUUGAUUCCCCGCCUUCGAACUGCUCCCUCAAUCCCUUCCGUGGACCACCGCCGACGGUGGGAUGCACCUUCCACGGGAAGCCAUGUGACCGUGUAGACGCACGCGUCUCACCUCAAACACAUCCUAGGCUGGUGCACGAGUUGCCGAGGAAACACCCAAGGUUGUGGCCUCUCGACCACAACUUCGUCUCAUGGAAACUGUUGGAUGUGGACAGCCAGAACGAGUUCAAGUCUACGUGGCUCAUCAAGGAGAAAAAGAAGAGGAACUCGAGUGAUUUUUGUGUUGCUGACAAAGCUACACAAUACCAUAUAACUGGAAUUAACCGAUGCAACUCUAAGAAGGAAUGGCCGGUGCUGCCGGCUGGUGUCAAGUUUGAUCCCAUGGAUCAGGAGCUGAUUGAGCACCUUGAGGCCAAAGUGAGUGCUGACAGCGCGAGAUCUCACCCUCUCAUCAAUUUGUUCAUACCAACCAUCGACAGCGAGCACGGCAUAUGUUACACCCAUCCUGAGAAACUUCCAGGUAAGACACAGACCGGCCGUCUACUGACCUAG